AUGGUGGCGGCGGCGGCGGCAGCUGCUCCCCCAGGAGGGAGGGGACUAGCGGCUCCGCGGCCGCUGCCGCCGCCGCCACGGCACACGCCCUCCCCCGGUUCUGCUCCCCGGGGUUCUACUCCGCGCCCCGGCCGCGGACAUGUUCCCAGGGGCUGCGGACUGGGGGUGCGGGCCGGCGGGUCGCAACCUUUCGGUGUGUGUCGGGCCCGGGCGGCCCCCCUCCGCCGGCCUCCUUCCCGCUGCCCGCGGGGUUUGCGCCCCCCACCCCCGCGCCUCGGCACCUAGCGCUCGCCCGCCAGGGGGCGAGGCCAAGCUCUGGAUUCUCAAAACAGAAGGUGUCUGGAUCAGAAUAUUGAGAAGUUCUGAGUGUGAGAGAGCACAGUUUGGAAGUGCAGGAAGGAUCUGAGUGGCAGGAAUGCUUAGGCCCACAGGCCCUCAAACAGUAACAAGCUGUACCAGAAUCUCCGUGAUAUCCAAAGAGACAGCUCCUAAAAGACUACUAAAUAUAACUCUCUUCCACACAGGCUGGUGCCUGCUGCCUCAACUUUUACAAGCAUAGUUGUGGAAUAUCUAGGAAACUUGAAGUUGACAGACAGGUUUAAGCCGAACGAGGGCAGCCCACUAGAGAGCUUGGCUUUCGGUAUUUUCUAGUCUGUUCUUUCUGUUGAGCCACACGGAGCUGAUGGACCUUCAGUUGGGAGGAUGACAAACCAAAGAACUGACUCCAGUGGGAAAAAGGCAAGUAAGAAUGAGUCUGAGACAAAAGACUUGUGAAUGUAUUUGAACGUCAAAAGUUUCAAACCAAAAUCCAGCUUCCUUAAGCAACAUGAAUCACUGAUGGUCUGCUUCUUCCAAAGUGAAUUGACUUUACCUCUGUCUCUGGCAUGAUAGAAAAGUCACCCAUUUUGCUGGCCAACACACUUAAGCUUAAUUGUCAACUCUGCCACUUACCCCAAGCAAGCGAACUCACCUUCCAGAGCUUCGUGUCUUUUUGCCUGUAAAAUGGGUUAAAUACUGUUUGCAGCAUCGUAUGGAUGUAAGACAAUGUGGAUGAAAUUAUUAGAAAUAGUCCCUGCACUGACAUUGUUGUUAUCCAGUACUGCACCUGUAUGUCUAUCUUCCUCAUGACACUGACCUCCUCAAGAAAAGACACCUGCCUUUGGCCUUUCUGUCUGGUGCCUACUCCUGUAGGUGUUCAGUACAUAAAAUGAAUAAUUGAUAUAGCCAUCUUAUAGGAAAAGAAUUCUCCUGUGAGAUCAACCUUCCCAAGAGAGUCUAUCUUCUAAUUUCCUACAACCUUUUUAUUUGCUUUAGACAUAAAUUAGGAAAACAAAAUUAUUGGAUACAUUUCCAGAAAGAUAUUUUCCUAGAAUGUUUCUACUUAUACACACAUAUUAUUUAAUUAGUAAACUUAUUUUUGAGCAUUUUUAGGAUUACAGAAAAAUUGAGCAGAAAGUACAGAUUUCCCAUACGCACCCUAACGCCCUUCGUCCCUCCAUAUUAACAUCUUUUUUUUUUUAAGAUUUUAUUUAUUUAUUUAUUUGAGACAGAGGGAAUGAGAGACAGAGAGCAUGAGAGGGAGGAGGGUCAGAGGGAGAAGCAGACCCCUGCCAAGCAGGGAGCCCGAUGCGGGACUCGAUCCCGGGACUCGAUCCAGGGACUCUAGGAUCAUGACCUGAGCCGAAGGCAGUCGCUUAACCAACUGAGCCACCCAGGCGCCCUCCAUAUUAACAUCUUGCAUUAACGUGAUGCAUUUGUUAGAAUUGGUAAGCCAAUAUUGAUACAUUAUUAUGAACUAAACCCAUAGUUUACAUUUAAAUUAAUUCUUUGUAUUAUACAUUCUGUAAGUUUUGACAAAUGUAUAAUAACUUGUAUCCACCAUUACAUUAUCAUUCAGAAUAGUUUUACUGCUCUAAAAAUCCCCUGUGCUCCACCCAUUCCUCCCUCUCCCCUCCCAACUCCUGGCAACCAUUGAUCCUUUUAUUAUCUCCAUAGUUUUGCCUUUUCUAGAGUGUCAUGUUGCUAGAGUCAUAGGAUAUGUAGCCUUUUUAGAUUGGCUUCUUUCCAUUCGUGAUAUGCAUUAAAGAUUCAUCCAUAUCUUUUCCUGGCCUGAUAGCUCAUUUCUUUUCAUCACUGAAUUCUAUUCCAUUGUAUGGAUGUACCACAGUUUAUUCACCCACUGAAGGACAUCUUGGUGGCUUCCAAGUUUUGUCAAUUAUGGAUAAAGUUGCUGUAAACAUUCACGUGCAGGUUUUGUGUGGAUGUAAGUUUUCAACUCAUUUGGGUAAAUACCUAGGAGUGUAAUUGCUCUAUUGUAGAGUAAACAUAUGUUUAGUUUUUUUUGUUUUGUUUUAAUUUUGCAAGAAGCUGCUAAACUGUCUUCCAAAGUGACUGUAUCAUUUUAAUAGGUGUGUAGUGAUAGUUCAUUGUUUUCAUUUGCGAUUCUCUAAUGACAUACAAUAUUAAACAUCAUUUCCUAUGCUUAUUUGCCAUCUGUAUAUUUUCUUUGGUGAAGUGUCUGUUCAGAUCUUAUGCCCAUUUUUAAAUCCAGUUGUUUGUUUUUUUAUUGUG